rnacentral:rRNA from 1 species
UACGUAGGCAGCGAGCGUUGUUCGGAGUUACUGGGCGUAAAGAGUGCGUAGGCGGUUUUCCAAGUCUGGUGUGAAAUCUCCCGGCUCAACCGGGAGGGUGCGCUAGAAACUGGGAGACUGGAGUACGGGAGAGGUAGGCGGAAUUCCUGGUGUAGCGGUGAAAUGCGUAGAUAUCAGGAGGAACACCGGUGGUGUAGACGGCCUGCUGGACCGUAACUGACGCUGAGGCACGAAAGCGUGGGGAGCAAACAGG